AUUGAACGCUGGCGGCAGGCCUAACACAUGCAAGUCGAGCGGUUGACGGGAGCUUGCUCCCUGAUUCAGCGGCGGACGGGUGAGUAAUGCCUAGGAAUCUGCCUAUUAGUGGGGGACAACGUUUCGAAAGGAACGCUAAUACCGCAUACGUCCUACGGGAGAAAGCAGGGGACCUUCGGGCCUUGCGCUAAUAGAUGAGCCUAGGUCGGAUUAGCUUGUUGGUGAGGUAAUGGCUCACCAAGGCGACGAUCCGUAACUGGUCUGAGAGGAUGAUCAGUCACACUGGAACUGAGACACGGUCCAGACUCCUACGGGAGGCAGCAGUGGGGAAUAUUGGACAAUGGGCGAAAGCCUGAUCCAGCCAUGCCGCGUGUGUGAAGAAGGUCUUCGGAUUGUAAAGCACUUUCAGUCAGGAGGAAGGGAGAUAGGCUAAUAUCCUAUUUCAUUGACGUUACUGACAGAAGAAGCACCGGCUAACUCCGUGCCAGCAGCCGCCGUAACAC
rnacentral:rRNA from 1 species